rnacentral:rRNA from 1 species
UACGUAGGGUGCAAGCGUUAAUCGGAAUUACUGGGCGUAAAGCGUGCGCAGGCGGUUUUGUAAGUUUGUCGUGAAAGCCCCGGGCUCAACCUGGGAAUUGCGAUGAAGACUGCAAGGCUUGAAUCUGGCAGAGGGGGGUAGAAUUCCACGUGUAGCAGUGAAAUGCGUAGAGCUGUGGAGGAACACCGAUGGCGAAGGCAGCCCCCUGGGUCGAUACUGACGCUCAUGCACGAAAGCGUGGGGAGCAAACAGG